rnacentral:rRNA from 1 species
UAGUGGAUCACAGUAGGUCUGCAGACAGCUCAUUAAAUCAGCUACAAUCUACGCGGAGAAACUGCCUUUUGGCAGACUAUUGGAUAACUUUGGUAACCCCAAAGCUAAUACAUGUCAGUAAAACCCGCACAGAUUCCACCCCGGUGGCUUGCUGCUGGGGCUGUGCUGGGUGCAAUUGACCGAAACAAAAACCAACGCCAGCAAUGGCAGCGGUGAUUGGAUGAUUCAGGUCAAUCGAGUAGUAGCGCAUACUUCGGUGGCGCUUGUCCGCAUGAGAAUCUGCCCUAUCAGCUUUUGACGGUAGUGUAGUGGACUACCGUGGCUGUAACGGGUAACGGGGAAUUAGGGUUCGAUUCCGGAGAGGGAGCCUGAGAAACGGCUACCACAACUAAGGUUGGCAGCAGGCGCGCAAAUUGCCCAAUAGCAACACUGCUGAGGGGCAGCGAAGAGAAAUAGCAACUUCUGGCACACAUGUGUUAUGGAGCUUGCAAUGGAUGUUAUCUAAACCUAUCAGUGAGUAUCGAUUGGUGGACAAGUCUGGUGCCAGCACCCGCGGUAAUUCCAGCACCAAUAGCGUAUAUUAAUGCUGCUGCUGUUAAAAAGCUCGUAGUUGGAUCCAGAGUUGGACAGUGCACGGCGGCCCCGUUGGCCUAGUUUGGUUCCGAUCAAGCUAGCCGCGGCGGAAUCACCCCGUGCGCCAAACUGUCCACUCUAACAGGCCGAAACGGUUCCCUGUGAGUAGGCUCCUUCAUUGGGGUCGAAAGCGCCUACGCAUCAACCAUAUGCAUACGGGACGUCGGCCAAAGUUACUGUGAACAAACCAGCGUGUCCAAAGCAGGCUUUCGCCUGAAUGGUCGAGCAUGGAAUAACAAGGGAUCGAUUCUCUCGGUUCCUUUUGUUGGUUUUAACCAGAGAAUGAGUAAUUCAGGCCACGGUGUCUGAGUUGGGUUACCCGAACCCCUUGGGUGAGGCCCCAAUUAAGGCCGGGUCCUUACGGGAUCAAUAGGGACUGACGGGGUCGUACGUACUCCCACGUCAGAGGUGAAAUUCUUAGAUCGUGGGAAGACGAACUUCUGCGAAAGCAUUCGACAAGAAUGUCUUCAUUAAUCAAGAACGAGAGUGUGGGGAUCGAAGAUGAUCAGAUACCGUCGUAGUCCACUACUGUAAACGAUGCCGUCUCAGGAUCGAGAGGGCUCCUACAUGACCCUCACGGCACUAACCCCUGAAACGAGAAAUCAAAGUUUAUGGGUUCAGGGGGGAGUACAAUCGCAAGGCUGAAACUUAAAGGAAUUGACGGAAUGACACCACAAGGCGUGGAGUAUGCGGCUUAAUUUGACCCAACACGGGGAACCUCACCAGGUCAGGACAAAAUAAGGAUUGACAGAUUGAGAGCUCUUUCUUGAUCUUUUGGAUGGUGGUGCAUGGCCGUUCCUGGUUGGUGGAUUGAUCUGUCUGCUUAAUUGCGAUAACGAACGAGAUCUCCGCCUCUCAAUAGGUGGUUGGCACGUAUUCAUGGGAGUCGGUUGCGAGGCUUGCCUCCUUCAGACUGCUGAGUGACCAACAAUACUUCUCAGAGGGACUGCGCACGCCUAUAGUGCGCGGAAGAUGGAGCCAAUAGCAGGUCUGUGAUGCUCCUAAAUGUUCUGGGCUGCACGCGCACUACACUGAUGCUAGAAACGAGUUGCGUUGCCUUAUGGCAACCUAUCUUGAAGAGGAUGGGAAAUCUUUUGAACUUGCGUCGUGAUGAGGAUCGAUGAUUGCAAUUAUUCUCCUUGAAUGAGGAAUGCCUAGUAGGCGCAAGUCAUCAGCUUGCACUGAUUACGUCCCUGCCAUUUGUACACACCGCCCGUCGUUGCUACUGAUUGGCUGUAGGGUAGAGAUCGGCGGAUUCCGGACCGUUGGGGCAACUCUUCAGUUUGGGAGAAACCUAUCAAUAUUCUGCAG